rnacentral:rRNA from 1 species
UACGUAGGGUGCGAGCGUUAAUCGGAAUUACUGGGCGUAAAGCGUGCGCAGGCGGGCUCUUAAGCCAGACGUGAAAUCCCCGGGCUUAACCUGGGAAUGGCGUUUGGGACUGGAAGUCUGGAGUGCGGCAGAGGAGACUGGAAUUCCUGGUGUAGCAGUGAAAUGCGUAGAUAUCAGGAGGAACGCCAAUGGCGAAGGCAAGUCUCUGGACAGUUCCUGACGCUCAUGCACGAAGGCCAGGGGAGCAAACGGG